rnacentral:rRNA from 1 species
AUUGAACGCUGGCGGCAGGCCUAACACAUGCAAGUCGAACGAGUGGCGGACGGGUGAGUAAUGUCUGUGAAACUGCCUGAUGGAGGGGGAUAACUACUGGAAACGGUAGCUAAUACCGCAUACCAUCAGAUGUGCCCAGAUGGGAUUAGCUAGUUGGUGGGGUAACGGCUCACCAAGGCGACGAUCCCUAGCUGGUCUGAGAGGAUGACCAGCCACAAGGAGACUGAGAAACGGUCAAGACUCAUACGGGAGGCAGCAGUGGGGAAGAGUGCACAAUGGGCGCAAGCCUGAUGCAGCCAUGCGGCGUGUAUGAAGAAGGCCUUCGGGUUGUAAAGUACUUUCAGCGGGGAGGCGUUACCCGCAGAAGAAGCACGGGCUAACUCCGUGCCAGCCGCCGCGGUAAUAC